rnacentral:rRNA from 1 species
AUACGUAGGGUGCGAGCGUUGUCCGGAAUUACUGGGCGUAAAGAGCUCGUAGGUGGUUUGUCGCGUCGUCUGUGAAAUUCCGGGGCUUAACUCCGGGCGUGCAGGCGAUACGGGCAUAACUUGAGUAUUGUAGGGGAGACUGGAAUUCCUGGUGUAGCGGUGAAAUGCGCAGAUAUCAGGAGGAACACCGGUGGCGAAGGCGGGUCUCUGGGCAGUAACUGACGCUGAGGAGCGAAAGCAUGGGUAGCGAACAGGAUUAGAUACCCUGGUAGUCCAUGCCGUAAACGGUGGGCGCUAGGUGUAGGGGUCUUCCACGACUUCUGUGCCGUAGCUAACGCAUUAAGCGCCCCGCCUGGGGAGUACGGCCGCAAGGCUAAAACUCAAAGGAAUUGACGGGG